UUAUCCCUGCGAUGUGCGUGAUUAGUGAUUUUUAUUUUACCAACACUUUUAUAAAGGGAAUCCGGCUCCAUGCGUGGCGUAUACGCCCCCCGACUUUGUCGGCCAGGGGACAUAUAAAACGUGUGGGAGGUUACCCACCUGCUCAGGCAGGUAAAAAUUAAUCCUAUACACGGCAUGGCGGGGCUACA
rnacentral:other from 1 species